rnacentral:rRNA from 1 species
GACAGAGGCCUCAAGCGUUAGGCGGAAUCACUGGGCUUAAAGCGUGUGUAGGUGGAUUCUUAAGUGCCUUGUGAAAUCCCAUGGCUCAACCAUGGAACUGCUUGGCAUACUGGGAGUCUUGAGCCAUCUAGGGGCAACUGGAACAGACGGUGGAGCGGUGAAAUGCGUAGAUAUCGUCUGGAACGCCUAAGGUGAAGACAGGUUGCUGGGGAUGUGCUGACACUGAGACACGAAAGCCAGGGGAGCAAACGGG